GAAUCUUAGACAAUGGGCGCAAGCCUGAUCUAGCCAUGCCGCGUGAGUGAUGAAGGCCUUAGGGUCGUAAAGCUCUUUCGCUGGGGAAGAUAAUGACGGUACCCAGUCAAGAAACCCCGGCUAACUCCGUGCCCGCCGCCGCGGUAAUACGGAGGGGGUUAGCGUUGUUCGGAAUUACUGGGCGUAAAGCGCACGUAGGCGGACUGGAAAGUUGGGGGUGAAAUCCCGGGGCUCAACCUCGGAACUGCCUCCAAAACUAUCAGUCUGGAGUUCGAGAGAGGUGAGUGGAAUUCCGAGUGUAGAGGUGAAAUUCGUAGAUAUUCGGAGGAACACCAGUGGCGAAGGCGGCUCACUGGCUCGAUACUGACGCUGAGGUGCGAAAGUGUGGGGAGCAAACAGG
rnacentral:rRNA from 1 species